GCAAACUUGGUCAUUUAGAGGAAGUAAAAGUCGUAACAAGGUUUCCGUAGGUGAACCUGCGGAAGGAUCAUUAAAGAAAUCCGUCGAAAGGGCUUCACUCAUCCCUCACCUGUGAACUGUCGUGGGGCCCUCUCGCGAGGUCCGCGCGCCUUCUACCAAACUUCUGGUGGUCAAAGAUGUUGCUCUUGUCAUGAUCUAUUAAAACUUUCAACGACGGAUCUCUUGGCUCUCGCAUCGAUGAAGAACGCAGC
rnacentral:misc_RNA from 1 species